rnacentral:RNase_P_RNA from 1 species
UCCUCCAAACAGACAAUCGCUGUAUUUCUUUCGAGAAAUCACAGAGGAAAGUCCGAACACGUGCAAGGAGAAAUCUUUGCAGAAUUGUAGUGGGUAAUCCCCAUCCAUGGCGACAUGGAGAUGCGAACAGUGACGUGUGUUUUUGAAAAUUAACACAGACCUACACAAGGUUAAUCUUAUUAAAAGUGUUGUAAAAAAUAUUAAGAAUGAAACGGCUAAAUUCUUACAGACGUGCAAGGCCGUGUGCGCAAUUUGCGUAAGUGCCGCUCGAGGUGAGGAGUAAUUUUCAUCCCAGAUAAAUGGUUGUCAUCAAAAUUUAUUUUGAUACAGAAUUCGGCUUAUCGUUAGGAGGAUAUU